rnacentral:rRNA from 1 species
CCCUUAGAUGUCCGGGGCCGCACGCGCGCUACACUGAAGGAAUCAGCGUGGCUUUCUCCCUGACCCGAAAGGGUUGGGAAACCCGUUGAAUCUCCUUCGUGAUAGGGAUUGGGGCUUGAAAUUGUUCCCCAUGAACGAGGAAUUCCCAGUAAGCGCGAGUCAUAAGCUCGCGUUGAUUACGUCCCUGCCCUUUGUACACACCGCCCGUCGCUCCUACCGAUUGGGUGAUCCGGUGAAUAACUCGGACUGCAGCUAUUCGGGAGACCGUUAGCUUGUGGAAAGUUUAGUAAAUCUUAUCACUUAGAGGAAGGAGAAGUCGUAACA